rnacentral:rRNA from 1 species
GACGAACGCUGGCGGCGUGCCUAAUACAUGCAAGUAGAACGCAGUUGCGAACGGGUGAGUAACGCGUAGGUAACUGCCUCAUAGCGGGGGAUAACUAUUGGAAACGAUAGCUAAUACCGCAUACUGUGAGAUGGACCUGCGUUGUAUUAGCUAGUUGGUUAGGUAAAGGCUCACCAAGGCGACGAUACAUAGCCGACCUGGGAGGGUGAUCCGCACAACGGGGACGGAGAAAAGGCGCAGAAUCCUGCGGGAGGCAGCCGUAGGGAAUCUUUGGCAAUGGACGGAAGUAUGGACAAGGCAGGCCGCGUGAGUGAAGAAGGUUUUCGGAUCGUAAAGGUCUGUUGUUAGAGAAGCGGUAACUAACCAGAAAGGGAUGACUAACUCCGUGCCAGCAGCCGCGGUAAUAC